GUUACAUAAGUGUGCCAUAUUCAGAUAUUCCAAUCCUGCGGAUGGUAGCAAAACUGCAUGGAAUACUGAAACCAUUUCUACUUCGGAGAAUGAAAUCUGAUGUCGAGCUAAUGCUCCCUCGGAAGAAAGAAAUCAUAAUAUAUUGGUUAUGAUUGAAGGAAGUUCACUUUGGGAAAUUGAUAGUCUUCGACACCAUUAUUGUCCUCCUGUUUCAAGGUUAGUUUUAUGCCUAGUAUCCCCGUACAAUCAAGUGUGUGAAGUGUUCAAGAGAGAGGUUGGCAUGACACCGGAUAAG